rnacentral:tRNA from 1 species
GGUCCCGUAGUUCAAUUGGAUAGAAUGCCAGAUUCCGGUUCUGGUGGUUGCGCGUUCGAGUCGCGCCGGGAUCA